CGUCUAUAUACGUAUAGCAUAUCAAUAAGCGGAGGAAAAGAAACUAACUAGGAUUCCCUUAGUAACGGCGAGUGAAGCGGGAAGAGCUCAAAUUUGAAAUCUUCAAGGGUUCUACCUUUACGAAUUGUAGUUUAAAGAAGUGUUUUCUGUUGGAGUUUCGGUAAAAGUUCUUUGGAAUAGGACAUCAUAGAGGGUGAGAAUCCCGUAUUUGACCAGUUACUUUCCAGCUGUGUGAUACACUUUCAAAGAGUCGGAUUGUUUGGGAAUGCAGUCCAAAAUGGGUGGUAAAUUUCAUCUAAAGCUAAAUAUUGGCGAGAGACCGAUAGCGAACAAGUACCGUGAGGGAAAGAUGAAAAGAACUUUGAAAAGAGAGUUAAACAGUACGUGAAAUUGUCAAAAGGGAAGCGUUUGACACCAGUGUUGUUUUCUCGAAAAUCAAUUAAAAAUGGCCGGAUUUUGUGUUGUAUUGACUUUAUCAGCUUUCUGCACUUUUUUCUUGUCUUUUUUAAUGCACUUUUCGUUUAACAAGUCAACAUCAAUUUCUUUUGUUGUAAAAGAGUCAUUGGAAGGUGGCUUUCCUUUCGGAUGAAAGUGUUUAUAGCCUUUGACUUCUGCAAUCGGAGAGAUUGAGGUCUGCAGCGUAGAUCCUUCGGGGUUAGAUAGCAUUUGUGCUAAGUUAUAGCUUUUCAUAGACAACAUGUUGACUAUGAUUAAGUCAUGUAGCUUACUCGCUUAUGCUAUUUUACCUACGCUUAGGAUGUUGAUCGAUCAGCUGAGCGCG
rnacentral:rRNA from 1 species